UACAGAGGGUGCGAGCGUUAAUCGGAAUUACUGGGCGUAAAGCGCGCGUAGGCGGCUUUGCAAGUCGGGUGUGAAAUCCCCAGGCUUAACCUGGGAACUGCAUUCGAGACUGCAUUGCUAGAGUAUGGGAGAGGGAAGUGGAAUUUCCGGUGUAGCGGUGAAAUGCGUAGAUAUCGGAAGGAACAUCAGUGGCGAAAGCGACUUCCUGGACCAAUACUGACGCUCAUGUGCGAAAGCGUGGGGAGCGAACCGG
rnacentral:rRNA from 1 species